rnacentral:rRNA from 1 species
CAAUAGCGUAUAUUAAAGUUGUUGCAGUUAAAAAGCUCGUAGUUGGAUUUCUGAUGGGAGCGAUCGGUCUGGCGCUUAGCGCGAGUACUUGCAUCGUCUCCGGCCAUCCUUGGGGAGAGUCUGUCUGGCAUUAAGUUGUCGGGCAGAGGAUCCUCAUCGUUUACUGUGAAAAAAUUAGAGUGUUCAAAGCAGGCUUAUGCCGUUGAAUAUAUUAGCAUGGAAUAAUAAGAUAGGACUUUGGUACUAUUUUGUUGGUUUGCGCACCAAAGUAAUGAUUAAUAGGGACAGUUGGGGGUAUUCGUAUUCCGUUGUCAGAGGUGAAAUUCUUGGAUUUACGGAAGACGAACUACUGCGAAAGCAUUUACCAAGGAUGUUUUCAUUAA